UACGUAGGGGGCAAGCGUUGUCCGGAAUCAUUGGGCGUAAAGCGCGUGUAGGCGGUCCGGUAAGUCCGCUGUGAAAGUCGGGGGCUCAACCCUCGGAUGCCGGUGGACUACUGUCGGGCUUGAGGUACGGAAGAGGCGAGUGGAAUUCCUGGUGGUAGCGGUGAAAUGCGCAGAGUAUCAAGGAGGAACACCAAGUUGCGAAGGCAGCUCGCUGGACGUUACUGACGCUGGAGACGCGAAGCGUGGGAGCAAACAGGAUAAGAACC
rnacentral:rRNA from 1 species